AAAUUGAAGAGUUUGAUCAUGGCUCAGAUUGAACGCUGGCGGCAGGCCUAACACAUGCAAGUCGAACGGUAACAGGAAGCAGCUUGCUGCUUCGCUGACGAGUGGCGGACGGGUGAGUAAUGUCUGGGAAACUGCCUGAUGGAGGGGGAUAACUAC
rnacentral:rRNA from 3 species